AGGACACGCAGAAACAGCACCCUCCUGGAGAAAGGGCCCCACUCAGCCUGCCCUGGCCUUGCUGGAGGUGGGGCUUUUCGGGAAAAGAACGAGGAGGCUGAAGACAGGAAAGCCAGCGGGUGGGGAGGCUGGGACCCUGGGGGAGGGGUGGGAACAUUGUGAAGGCCACACCCCAAGCCCUGGGGCCCUGUAUUGGGUCUUUGUUGCAUUGCUAUAAAGAAAUACCUGAGACUGGGUGAUUUAUAAAGGAGAGAAAUUCGACUGGCUCAUGGUUCUGCAGGCCGUACAGGAAGCCUGGUGCUGGCAGAUCUGCUUCUAGGGAGUUCUCAGGAAGCUUCUGGUCAUGGUGGAAGGCAAUGCGGAGCCAGCGAGUCACAUGAUGAGACCCCGAGCAAGAAAGAGAGGCCGGGAGGUGCCACACUCUACAACAACCAGAACGUGCCUGUGUAAUCAGAACCCAGAAAAGGGAAAAGAGCAUUCUUCACCACACAGAAGUCCUGGUGACAGUCUUUCUAGUUAUCGGCCCACUGCAAGGGUAACCCUAUCCAAACUGCGUUGAUUAGGUUUUCAUAUUUCAUAGAAAUGGAUUCAUACACUACUUGCUCUUUUGUGUCUGGAUUUUUCAUCAUGCAACAUUAUUUCUCAACCUGGAGCUGUGCGGACUGAGACUGAGAUGCAUCGCUGAAACUCUCUUUAGGUGUUCCCUACCAUUUCUUCUUGGAAAAGAAGGUUUUACCUCCUGGGAUUUUUGAGAACCUCUAACUUCUCCAUUGGGGACCAUCUCCAGGUACCACCAAAAAAGAGCACAACAGCAGCCUUGCGGAUAAGUCCUGGUCUGGAGUCAGCCACCGCUGCACACACCACUCAGAGCUGCAUCAUCGGGUUACCCCUGGAAAGGCUGCCCACACACCCACAUCCAGGGGUGUCUCGUCACUGCUGACGACUAGCACGGAACCUGAAAGCUCAGCAUGAGAUGAAGUGGCUGGAGGCACGAGGCUGACCAUCAAACCUACUUAGAAGUCAGACCUUGAAUGUAAGUACAUGUUGUUCAUUAUCUAUAUCUUUUGCAUGACAGAAUGUCAGUUAUAGGAUAAAUAACAGAGGGUAGGCUGUGUACCAAGUCAUGGUGACAACAAUACAAAGCAAGGCUGGGCGCGGUGGCUCAUGCCUGUAAUCCCAGCACUUUGGGAGGCUGAGGAGGGUGGUUCACGAGGUCAGGAGUUCGAGACCAGCCUGGCCAACAUGGCGGAACCCCAUGUCUACUAAAAAUAGAAAAAUUAGCCAGGCGUGGGUCACAUGACUGUAGUCCCAGCUACUCAGGAGGCUGAGGCAGGGGAAUUGCUUGAACUUGGGAGGCUAAGAUUGCAGUGAGCCGAGAUUGCACCACUGCACUCC
rnacentral:lncRNA from 10 species